rnacentral:lncRNA from 10 species
CUGCGUCGCUCACGCUGGGAGCUGUAGACUGGAGCUGUAGACAGGAGCUGUUCCUAUUCGGGCAUCUUGGCUCCUCCUUGAUGAAAGAACCAGGAACUCAGUGCCUAAGAAGCAAAAUCUUCUUGUAGAAAUGGCAGUGGGUGGCCACUGUCCACCAUGAAAGAACCUUACUCUGCUGGAAAGGCUCAACCCAUUCUAGUUAUGUCAAACUCAACCUGCUCUUCCUCCUCCUCUAGCAAGCUUGAAGGUGAGCACCUCGAAGGGCUUCUUUUUAUGUUGAAAGGCACGGGUUUGCAUGGCGGUUCAUCAGAGGUCAAUACCCCAGUUUGAGAAAGUCCACUGUGGGGAGGAAAGAGAGACUUAAACAAGCCCUGGAAAAACAAAGAAUGGAACACCCCUCCGCUGACUUCAACCAACUGCCUGCUGAUGCGGCCUGACUCCCAGCCCUUUUUGCAGUUUUGAAGUGACAAACUGACUAGGCUACAAAGUAUUCAACCAUGGGCUGGUUCUGGCUGGUUCACCGAGGCUGUGUACAAAGUGUCUUCAUGUCCUGUGUUUCACCUUUUAACAUACAGAACCUAAUUUUACUGCAUUUUAAUGUUAAUUCUCCACUCGAAGGUGAACAUGGGAUGUAUGUAACACAUAUGUUUGCUUAUCAAGCACACAUAUGACCCCCUUUCAUGAAUAUUCAUAGUUCCCCCUGUGACCUGUUGAAUAUGUCUGUUUAGCCAACCUGUUUGGCAUAAAACUCCUAUCCCACCCUAUCUCCCUCAAAGUACCUGUUUGUGGUCUCAGCUGGAGGUGCCACUUCCCAGCCUGCAGUUUGCAACCCUUCUCAAGAAAUAAAGUCUUCCUUUCCAA